ACGGUCAAAUCACGCUGAAAACACCGGUUCUCGUUCAAUCACCGAAGUUAAGCAUCAGAGAGCCAGGUCAGUACUUAGAUGGGGACCCGCUUGGGGAACACCUGGUACUGUAAG
rnacentral:rRNA from 1 species